CUUCCAGUGAUGAUAAUUUUCUGUCCAGUUCUGCUACUGAGUGUAAGUGGUGAUACUUCAGAUCUGAGGAAG